GAGACACUAGUAAAACCUCUAUUACAUUACCUUGUCAAGAUAAAAUUGUGGGUUAAAUCCCCGCGUGUCUUU